GACAGAGGGGGCAAGCGUUGCUCGGAAUUACUGGGCGUAAAGGGCGCGUAGGCGGGAUGGCAAGUCGGUCGUGAAAUCCCUCGGCUCAACCGAGGAACGUCGAUCGAUACUGCUGUUCUUGAGGAUUGCAGAGGAGACUGGAAUUCCCGGUGUAGCGGUGAAAUGUGUAGAGAUCAGGAGGAACACCUGUGGUGUAGACAGCUUACUGGACGAUAACUGACGCUGAGGCACGAAAGCGUGGGGAGCGAACAGG
rnacentral:rRNA from 1 species